rnacentral:rRNA from 1 species
UACAGAGACCUCAAGCGUUAUCCGGAUUUAUUGGGCGUAAAGAGCAUUUAGGCGGACUUAUUAGUCAGAUGUCAAAUCCUCGAGCUUAACUCGAGAACUGCAUUUGAAACGGUAAGUCUAGAGACAGUGAGAAACCAGUAGAACAUAUGGUGUAGCAGUGAAAUGCGUUGAUAUCAUAUGGAAUACCAAAGGCGAAAGCAUCUGGUUAAUGCUGUUCUGACGCUGAGAUGCGAAAGCGUGGGUAGCGAAUGGG